CUUCCUUUUGAUUAGUGGCCAGGCAUGCCCCCUUUCCUCUGGAUUUUGUCCCGGCUAUCCCCCUUCCGUCUGGGUAAGGACCAAGGACACAGCAAGCCCUACUCCUGGGUGUGAGCCCAGCAACAGCCUUCUGCAUUUGUGCACUGCAAGCCCCAGUCCUUCUGCUUUUUGCCCCAGCAAGAUCCCCUCUUUCUCAAUUUCGGCAGGGCAAGCACCCUUCCUUCUGCAUUUUGACCCAGAAGGCCAGCUGCUUUUUGGAUUCCAAACCUGCAAGCCUCCUUCCUUCUGGUUUUCAGCAUAGAAAAAACUCUCCCUGAUGGGUUUCUGGCCUGCAAGCCCCCUUCCUUCUGUGUUUCACACCAGCAAGCACCUUCCAUCUACCUUCCAUCACACCAGCAAGCACAGCAUGCCUCCUUCCUUCAGGGUUUGGGCACAGCAAACACCGGUCCUUCAGCCUUUGGGCUCAGCAAGCCCCCUUCCAUCUGGCUUUCAGCACAGCUAGCCCCCAUUCUUCUGCAUUUUGCCCCAGCAAGACCCUUUCCUUCUGCUUUUUGGCCCAGCAAAACUACUUCUAAUUGGCUUUCAACCCAGAAUGCCUCCCUUCUGGGUUUCAGCACACUGUGCAUUGUUUUUUCUGGUUUUAUAUGCAGCAAGGCCCCUUCCUUCUUGCUUGGGGCCUAGCAAGAUCCCUUCCUUCUCGGUUUCUGCGCAUGAAGCUCUCCUGCUUCUGGGUUUUGGCCCAUCAAGACCCCUUCCUUCUGGGUAACAGCCCAGCAAGACACAUUCCAUUUGGGUUUUGGGACACCAAACGCCCUUCCUUCUGCCUUUUGGACCAGAAAGCCCCAUUCCUUUCUACAUUCAACCCAUCAAGCUCCCUUUCUUCUGGGUUUUGGCCCAGGGUUUGGGUUAGGGUUAGGGUAGGGUUAGGGUUAGGGUUAGGGUUAGGGUUAGGGUUAGGGUUAGUGUUUUCUUUAGGGUUAGGGUUAGGUUAGGGUAAGGUUUUGGGUGGGGGUUAGAUUUAGGGUUAGGAUUAAUGUUAGGUUUAGGGUUAGGGUUAGGUUUAUGGUUAGGGUUAGAUUUAGGGUUAGGAUUAAUGUUAGGGUUAGGGUUAGGGUUAGGAUUAUUGUUAGGGUUAGUGGUAGGGCAGGGUUAGGGUUAGGGUUAGGGUUGGGUUUGGGUUAGGAUAAGGGUUUGGGUUAUGGUUAGCAUUCGGGUUAGGGUUCGGUUUAUGUUUAGGGUUAGGGUUAGUGCUAGGGUUAGGAGUUAGGGAUAGGGUUAGGGUUACCUUUAGGGUUAGGUUUAGCUUAAGGGUUUGGGUUCAGGUGCGGGUGAGGGUUAUGGUUAGGGUUAGGGUUAGGAUUAGGUUUAGGGUUAGGGUUACCUUUAGGGUUACCUUUAGGGUUAGGUUUAGCUUAAGGGUUUGGGUCCGGGUGCGGGUGAGGGUUUGGGUUAGGGUUAGGAUUAGGUUUAGGGUUAGGGUUAUGGUUAGGGUUAGGCACAGGUUUAGGGUUAGGUUAGGGUUAGGGUUAGACACAGGGUUAGGGUUACGGUUAGGGUUAGGGUUUGGGCUAGGGUUAGGUUUAGGGUAAGGUUUAGGGUUAGGGUUAUGGUUAGGCUUAGGUUAGGGUAAGGGAUUGGGUUACGGUUAGGGUUCGGGUUAUGGUUAGCGUUAGGAUUAAUGUUAGGAUUUGGUUAGGGUUAGGGUUAGGGUUAGGGUUAGUGUUAGGGUUAGGAUUAGGGUUAGGGUUCGGGUUAGGGUUUGGGUUAGGUUUAGUGUUUGGGUUAGGUUUAGGGUUUGAGUUUGGGUUAGGGUUAGGGUAACGUUUAGGGUUAGUGCUUGGGUUAGGAACAGUCUCAGAUUUAGGGUUAGGGUUAGGGUUAGGGUUAGUUUCAGAGUUAGGGUUAGGGUUAGAGUUAGUUUCAGAGUUAGGGUUAGGGUUAGGUUUAGCAUUAUGUUUAGGGUGAGGGUUUGUGUUAGGGUUAGGGGUAGCUUUAGGUUUUGGGUAAGUUUAGGGUAAGGGUUUUGUUAUGUGUUAGAUUUAGUUUAGGAUUAAUGUUUGGGUUUGGGUUAGUGUUAGGGUUGGGGUUAGGGUUAGAGUUAGGGUUAGGGUUAGGUUUAGGAUUAUGAUUAGUGUUUUGGUAAGUGUUAGGAUUAGGGUUAGGAUUAAUGUUAGGGUUCGUGUCAGGGUUAGCUUUAGGGUUAGGUGUAGGAUUUUGGUUAGGGUUAGGGUUAGAGUUAGGGCAAGGGUUAUGAGUUAGGGUUAGUGUUAGUGUUAGGUUAGGGUUUGGGUUAGGUUAAGUGUUAGGGUUAGGGUUAGUGUGAAGGUGAGGGUUAGGGUUAGACACAGGUUUAGGAUUUGGGUUAGGUUUAGGGUAGGGUUAAUGUUCGGUUUAGGGUUAGGUUAGGGUUCCGGUUAGGGUUAGUGUUACGGUUAGGGUUAGGGUUAGGUUUCAGUUAGGAUAAGGGUUAGUGUUAGGCUUACUGUUUGGGUUAGGGUUACGUUUUGGGUUAGGAUUGGAGUUAGGGUUAGGGUUAGGGCUAGGGUUAGGAGUUAGGGUUUGGGUUAGGGUUAGGAUUAGGGUUUCGGUUAGGGUUAGGGUUAGGGUAACAUUUAGGCACUGGGUUAGUGUUAGGUUUAGGGUUAGUGUAGGGUUAAGGUUCCUGUUAGGCUUAAGGUCAAAGUUAGGGUAAGGGUUAGGGUUAGGUUUGGGUUAGAGGUAGGGUUUGGGUAAGGGUUAGGAUUACCAUUAGGGUUAGCCUUAGGGUUAGGGUUAGGGUUAGGAUUAGGGUUAUGGUUAGGGUUAGGGUUAGUGUUAGGUUUAGGGUAAGUUUUCGGUUUAGGGCCGGGUUAGGUUAAGGGUUACGGUUAGGGUUAGGUUUAGGGUUAGAGUUAGGGUUAUGGUUGGGUUAGGAUAAAAGUUAGGGUUAGGGUUAGGGUAUUAGGGUAAGUGUUAGGGUUAGGGUUAGGUUUAGCAUUUGGUUUAGGGUUAAGGUAAGCGUUAGUGUUAGGGUUAGUUUUAGGGUAAGGGUUAGGGUUAGGGUUAUGAUUAGGGUUAGGAUUGGGGUUAGGGUUAGGGUUUUGGUUACGGUUAGGGUUAGGUUUGAGGUAAGGGUUAGCGUUAGGGUUAGGGUUAGGGUUAGGGUUAGGCUUAGGGUUAGGGUUAGGGUUAGGCUUAGGGUUAGGGUUAGGGCUAGGAUUAGGGUUAGGGUUAGGGUUAUUGCCAGGGUUAGGGUUAGGGUUAGAUUUAUUUUAAGGGUUAGUGUUUGAUUAAGUUUAGGGUUAGUGUUUUUGUUAGGGGUAGGAUUAGGUUAGGAUUAGAGUAGUGUUAGGGUUAGGGUUUGAGUUAGGGUUAGGGUUAGGUUAGGGUUCGGGUUAGGGUUCUGAUUAAGUAUAGGGUUAGGCUAGAGUUAGAGCUUGGGCUUGGGAUAGGGUUAGGGUUACGUUUAGUGUUAGGGAAGAAUUAGGGUCAGGGUUAGGGUUAGGGUUUGGUUUAGGGUUAGGUUUAGGGUUAGGGUGAAGGUCGGGUUAGGGUUAUGGUUUUGGUCGGGGUAGGGUUAGGGUUAGGGGUUAGGGUUUUUGUUUAGAGUUAGGUUUUGGGUUAGGUUUAGGGUUAGUGUUAGGGUUAGGGUGAGUGCCAGGGUUACGGUUAGGGUUAGGGUUAGGGUUAGAGUUAUUUUAAGGGUUAGUGUUUGAUUAAGUUUAGGGUUAGUGUUUUUGUUAUGGUAAGGAUUAGGUUAGGAUGAGAAUAGGGUUAGGGUUAGGGUUAGGGUCAGGGAUAGGGUUAGGGCUAGGGUUAGGGUUCGGGUUAUGUUUCAGGUUAGGGUUUGGGUUUAGGGUUCUGUUUAAGUAUAGGGUUAGGGUAAGUAUAGGUUUAGGCUAGGGUUAGGGCUUGGGUUUGUGUUAGGGGUAGGGUUAGUUUUAGGGUUAUGUUUAGUGUUAGGGAAGAAUUAGGGUCAGGGUUAGGGUUAGGGUUAGGGUUAGGGUUAGGGUUAGGGUUAGGGUUAAGGUAGGGUUAAGGUUAUGGUUAAGGUAGGGUUAAGGUUAUGGUUAGGGUUAGGGUAGGGUUAGGGUUUGGGGUUAGGGUUGGGGUUUAUGCUUAGGGUUAGGUUUUGGGUUAGGUUUAGGGUUAGGGUUAGGGUAAGGAUUUGGGUUAGGGGAAAGGUUAGGGUUAGGGUUAGGGUUUGGGUAAGGAUUAGGUUUAGGGCUUGGGUUGGGGUAGGUUUAGCGUUAGGGUUAUGGUUAGGGUUAAGGUUAGGGUUAGUGUAAGGUUUCAGUUUAGGGUUAGGGUUAGUGUAAGUGUUAGGGUUAGGUUUAGGGAUAGGGUUAGGGUUAUGGUAGGGUAAGGGUUAGUGUAAGGGUUAGGGUUAGAUUUAGGGUUAGGAUUAGGGUUAGGGUUAGGUUUAGGGAUAGGGAUAGGGAUAGGUUUAGUGUUAGGGUAAGGUUAGUGUUAGGGUAAGGUUUAUUUUUAGUGUAAGGUUUUGGGAUAGGUUUAGUGUAGGGUUAGGCUAAGGGUAGGGUUAGGGAUAGGGUUAGCCUUUUGGUUAUGGUUAGGUUUAGGGUAAAUGUUUGGGUUAGGAUUAGGGUCAGGGUUAGGGUUCUGUUUUGGGUUAGUCUUAGGGUAAGUGUUAGGGUUAGGUUUAUGGAUAGGGCUAGGGUCAGGUUUUGAGUUCGAUUUAGGGUUCGGUCUAGGGUUAGUGUUAGGGUUAGGGUUUAGGUAGGGUUUGGGUAAGGGUUAGGGCUAGUGUUACCUUUAGGGUUAGUGUUAGGGUUAGGGUUAGGAUUAAGUUUAGGGUUACAGUUAGGGUUAGGGUUAGUGUUAGGGUUAGGGUUAGUGUCAGGGUUACGGUUAGGGUUACGGUUAGGGUUGGGUUUUUGUUUAAGGUUUGGUUUAGGGUUAAGGUUAGGGUCAGGGUAGGGUUAGUGUUAGGUUUACGGUUAGGGUUAGUGUUAAGGUUAGCAUUAUGGUUAGGUUUAGGAUUAGCUUUAAAAUUAGAUUUAGGUUUAGGUUAGGUUUAUUGUUAGGGUUAGAGUGAAGUUAGGGUUAGGGUUAGGGUUAGGGUUUGUUUUAUGGUUAGGAUAUGGUUAUGGUUAGGGUUAGGGUUAGGGUUAGGGUUAGCGUUAGGGUUAGCGUUAGGUUUAGGUUUAGGUUUAGGGUAAAGGAUAGGGUUAGGAUUGAUGGUAGGGUUAUGGUAGGGUUAGGGCUAGCGUUUGGGUUAGGGUUAGGUUCAGGUUUUUGAUUAUGGUUCAUUUUUUUUAGGGUUAGAUUUAGGUUUAGGGUUAGGAUUCGGGUUUGGUUUAGGGUAGGGUUAUGAUUAACUUAGGGUUAGGGUUUUGGUUAGUGUAGGGUUUGCUUCGGCUUUUUUUUAGGGUUUGUGUUUGUUUAUGUUUAGGGUUAGGAUUAUGGUUAGGUUUAGCAUUAACUUAGGGUUAGGUUUAGGGUUAGGGUUAGGGGUAACUUAGGCUUUGUGUUUGGGUUAGGUUUUGGGUUCAGGUGGCGUUACUGUUAGGUUUAUGGUUAGGAUUAGUGUUAGGGGAGGGUUAGGUUUAUGGUUAGGGUUAGGGUUAAGUUUAUGUUUAACUGAGGGUUAGCGUAAUUGUUAGGGUUAGGGUUAACUUAGGGUUACGGUUAACUUAGGGUUGGGGUUAUGGUUAGGGUAGGGUUUACUUCGGCUUAGGGUUAGGAUUUGGGUUAGGGUUAUGUUUAGGGUUAGGAUUAUGUUUAGGUUUAGGGUUAACUUAGGGUUAGGGUUAGGGUUAGGGUUUGGGUUAGGAUAGGGUUAGUGUUACGGUUAAGUUUAUGUUUAGGGUUACAGUAAGGAUUAGUGUUUGGUUUAGGGUUAGGGUUAGGUUUACGGUUAGUGUUAGUGUAAAUGUUAGCGUUAUGGUUAGUUUUUGGAUUAGUGUUAAGAUUAGGUUUAGGUUUAUGUUAGGUUUAUGGUUAGCGUUAGAGUGAAGUUAGGGUUAGGGUUAGAGUUAGGGUUAGGGCUAUGAAAAGGUUUUUCUUUAGGGUUAGGUUUUGAUUUAAGGUUAGGGAUAAGGUUAGAGUUAGGGAUAGGUUUGGGUUCGGUUUAGGUUUAGGGUUAGGGGUAGGGUUAGGGUAAGAUUAGCGUUAGGGUUAGGGUUAGGGUUAACUUAGGGUUAGGGUUAUGGUUAGGUAAAGGGUUAGGAUUUGGUUUAGGUUUAGGGUUAGCAUCAAGGUUAGGGUUAGUGUUAGGUUUAGGGUUAGGUGUAGGGUUAGGGGUAGGGUUAGGGUAAGAUUAGCGUUAGGGUUAGGGUUAGGGUUAACUUAGGGUUAGGGUUAUGGUUAGGUAAAGGGUUAGGAUUUGGUUUAGGUUUAGGGUUAGCAUCAAGGUUAGGGUUAGUGUUAGGUUUAGGGUUAGGUGUAGGGUUAGGUGUAGGUUUAGGGUUAGAAUUUGGGUUAGGUUUAGGGUUAGGGUUAGGUUUAGGGUUAGUUUUAGGGUUUGGGUUAGGGUCAGGGUAAGGUUAGGGUUAGAUUUAGGGAUAGGGUUAGUGUUUAGGUUUGCGUUAUGUUUAGGUUUAGGGUUAGGGUUAAGAUUAGGUUUAGGGUAGUUUUAUGGAUAGGGUUAGAGUGAAGUUUGUGUUGGGGUUAGCGUUAGGGUUAGGAUUAUUCUUAGGGGUAGCGUAGGGGUAAUGUUAGGGUUUGGGUUAGGGUUGGGAUUAGGGUUAGGUUUAUAAUAGGGUUAGGGUUAAGUUUAGGGUUAAUGUACGGUUAGCCUUAGGGUUAGGGUUAUCGGUAAAGUUUAGGGUUUUUGAUAGGGUUAGGGUAGGGUAAGGAUUAGGGUAACGUUUAGGUUAGGGUUAGGUUUAGGGUUGGGUUUAGGCUUAGGUUUGGGGUUAGGGUUAGUAUUAUGUUUAGUUACAUUUAGGGUUACGUUUAGGGUUACAGUUAGGGUUAGGGUUUUGGUAAGUUUUAGGAUUAAGGUUAGGGUUACGUUUUGUAUUGAGAUUAGUGUUAGGUUUAGUGUUUUGUUUAGGGUUAGUGUAAGGGUUUGGGUUAGGUUUAGGGUUAGGGUUAGGGUUAGGGUUUGUUUUGGGCUUAGGGUAAGAGUUAGUGUUAAUGUUAGAAUUAGGUAAGGAUUAGGUUUAGGGUUAGGGUUAGGUUUUCGUUUAGGGUUAGGGUUAGGGUUUGUAUCAGGGUUAAGGUUAGAGUUAGGAAAUGUAGCUUCACCAAUUAGAAAUAAGAUACAAAUAGGAACAGUUAAGGUAGAGAGUGUUAGAGGAUAAAGAUUCCAAGCACUUUCACAUACACUAGGUCUGGAAUAACAAGGAGGAUGAAGGCGAUAAAGAUAAGUACAGGAGAGCAGGUCAAAUAAAUUUGGCAGGUGGGUGAUUAGACGUCUACAGGGGAAGCUGAAACCGGUUCAAGGGAUGCCCCCCUUUGGGAUCAGAAUUUUACAUUGAGGAAGACUACGUGCCUUCAUGAGGAAGUGGCGAGG
ensembl:lncRNA